GGUGGCAUGGUGGUUAAAGGUUUGGUUGCUAACCAAAAAGUUGGCAGUUCGAAUCCUCCUGCUGCCA
rnacentral:tRNA from 1 species